CCCAAAGGGACCAAACCACCGCUUCUUCCGCCUUUGUCCGGUGCUUACCCGCGCACUCACCUUCCAGAUCUUCUUUUCCCAUUUCGUCGCCAUGGAUUUCAGAAACGUCGCCGACAAAGCCUUGUUGCUCCAAAUCAACCUCGAUAAUCACCUUCCGGUAACCGACCACCAUGGAAGUUCCUUCGUUUCCCAAUUCUCCGCCUCUAACGCCGCACCCACUGGUCCAUAAUCUGGAAUCUCCUUCGCAAACGAUCGCCGCGUUACCAUCACAUGCUCCUAAUGUCCCUCAAGACAAUCCUCCAAGCACAACAAGAGGAACUGAAAAUGAAGCUGAAAAACGACCAACCAUAUAGAAGAAAUUACCAAUGAAGCUGAAGAAGGACGGUGAGACAGAGGCAGAGCAGACGGUCGAGAAUAAACGUGAACCGUGAAUAGGCAGAGGCAGAGCAGAGCGGGUGAGGCAGCGACGCAGCGUGAACCAUGAAUAAACGUGAGAGAUGAAGAAUGAGAAUUAGAAGCACAGGCGGUGAAGCUACAGCAGGAAACACGAGAAGGGGGGUCGAUUGGAGCUGAAAAUGUUAGGGCAUUGGAUUUCUGGAGCUGGGACUGAGUAAAAGGAAUUGAAAAAUGCAGAGUUUCGCGUCUGCCCGUGUCCGACCUGCGUCUGCCUGUCUCGACCCGCAUCCGCCCGUGUCCGUCGGAAACUAGGAAAAGGGACGCGCCGUUCCCCUGUCCUGAACGCGUGUCCGUGUUGGACACGUAUCCGACACGGACACGCCGGCCAUUUUGCCGUGUCCGUGCUUCUGAGGCAGGUAUUUGAGGCCAUGUUAAUCUGAGCACAGUCAUAUGCCCGAUGGAACUCAAAGACUGACUCUAUGCCGAAGUUAGCGAACCCAUUAUCACCGCCAACGAUCCACGAAGCUGAAUCGUUAAUUUUCUUUCCACAUUAUGUAGCGUCUGUAUCACAAGUAAAUUUCCAAUGUGACACUUUGUAUCGCAAGCAUCUUCGCUAAUGCUUGGCUGUGUUUUUUGCUAGAUGUGUGGUCCUUGUAGUCUUGACAUUGAAAAUGGUUUUCAACUUUUCAUAGCUAGACGACGUUCAGGAAUUCUGACACAUUUGGUCACAGCAAAUAUUGUUAAAUCCUGGUUUAUCCUGUUGAAUGAAUUUUCUGAUGUUGAAUAUCUGUGCUUUGAAAAUGGUAAA